rnacentral:lncRNA from 9 species
AGAAAACCCCUCAGAGCUUAGUCCCCACCAUCAUUCCCUUUCGAGGGCAAGGAAGUGGCAAGACAGCGCAUGAGUUCUGCCGACAGCGGGCUGGACCAGCGGGAAAACCACGCUCCAUACAGUCACUCAGGAGGGGGCUUGGGAGGAGGUCCCAGUUAUGGUUCCAUUUCUUGGACGUGUAAAUCCAUCUCACUUGCCAAAAAUGCUUAUCCUUUUCCACUCCCACAGGAGCCCAGGCCAUUGCUACCGAGGAGAAACCCAAGCUGCAAAACAGAGAGGAGGAAACACAAGAUAUUACCUGUGACGCGACACGCCUAUGACAAAUCGGAAAGAAGGACAACCCAGGCAGUGAAUCGUCAUAAAGUUAUCAAUCUACCGUGGAUCACCAGGAACGGGUCUACACACCCAACACAGAUAUAGUAGAAUCCAGGAGACGUUAGAGAAGAGGGGUGAAAGGGCAAAUCAAGGCCCCUCCCUGCAUUUGAAUGCCUGCAUUGGGGGAAGAAUUGGUAGACAGGACCGCAUUGGCUAGACUGAAGUUUGUGACCGGAAAGCUAUGAGAUCUAACCAUGUCAUCACGGCACAAGAUGUGUAGUGGAAGGAAGUAACUGGGGAAAAAGAAAAAAACAGGAUUUCAUGUUUAUACCACACUGCUUUAGACUGAUGGUUUGCGCCCCCAAAAAUUGACAUGUUGAAACCUAACCCCCAAUGCAAUGAUAUUUGGAGGUGGGAGAUUUGGGAGGUGGUCAGGUCAUGAGGAAGGGGACUUGUGCCGUUAUAAAG